AUGACGGGGUCGCCGGCAAGUUGUGGUGCCUUUGUGCCCCCCUGCCCGGCCGGCCGAGACGUGCAACGGCCACCCGUGCCCUUCGCCGCCGGAGGCGUGCUGAACGGGCUGAUCCACGUGGUGCUGGGGCAGGCGCCUCCCAAGGAGCCGUUCUGCUCCCUCAUCCUCGUGCUCGUCGACCUGGACGCCGCCGCCUUCAUCUUCCUCGCCAUCAGUGCCCACGUCCUCGGCGUCAACCUCUACGUCGACGUCGACCUCACGCUGCUGCCGAGCUGCUGCGGCCGCAAGGCGCCCAAGGGCUCCUGA
rnacentral:rRNA from 1 species